rnacentral:tRNA from 1 species
GCCCUGGUAGCUCAGUCUGGGAGAGCGUCGGACUGAAGAUCCGAUUGUCCCCGGUUCAAAUCCGGGCCAGGGCA